AUGACUAUCACUGCACGCAAGACACACAUAGUGUGUCUAACUAACUGCUGUGUUUGCGAACUACAAAACGUUUUGCGAUUUUUUUAUGUAAAAGCACCUUUACUCGACGGCAUUGCGGCGGCGCGCAGCGAGAGGAAGGAUGCUAAAAGAAUCAAUCAGUGGAGAAUAAUAUGCGCUACAAUGAUAUAGAAUCAAAGAAUUAAAUCAAUCAAGUUGUUUUCCUAACUUCUUUCCAUCUAUUUACUAAAAACCUCUCGUUUAAAUAUUGAGACUUUUUAAAAAAUCGAUCACAAGUUAAUGCAAUCGAUGGCACACGUUCAACACAAUUUUAAAUCUCUAAAUAGGACACAAAACUGAAUCUAUUCUUUUUAAUUUUGUUGUAUUAAGCUUUAUGCUCGAAACAAUAUGUUCGGACAUAUUGUACA